GUGUUUACACAGUGCAGAGGACUGCGUUUUACUCUUUACUGUGUUUUUUCCUGCGUGUGCGUAAUUGACCAUAAACCACACGCACAUCUAGAUGCACAAAACCUCCUUGGAUAAACUUUCCUAUACCUGGUUUGACUAGACUGGACCUGUUCUUACCGACAGCUCCACUGGCUUCAAGCUACCUACCUAAGAAGGAGAGUGGGAGGACGCGGCCUCCCUGAAUAUUGUGCGUGUUUUCCACACAAACCAGGCGGGAGCGUGGGUAGUGUGGGUUAGGGUAACUGUGACGGAUCUUGGAGAUCAGCUGGUCAAGGUCAAAGGUGCCAUCGCUGAGGGUGGUGACUACUGCAGAAUGGACGCCUGCAAGCUAUGAACGAGAACAAGAGCACAUUUUAUUUCAGCCGACAGAUAAUGUGGUAUAUGGGUGCUUCUUCAACUAUGGGCACAUUUGGACUUAAAAUAAACUCUAAUAAAACACACAUUUCAUACCCCCACUAGUUAAUUUAGUUGGUCUACCAACAAAGUUCAACAGUAAAAAUACGCUACCAUUCCAAAGUUUGGGGUCAGU